rnacentral:rRNA from 1 species
GUAGGCUGCAACCCGCCUGCGUGAAGUUGGAAUUGCUAGUAAUCGCGGAUCAGCAUGCCGCGGUGAAUACGUUCCCGGGCCUUGUACACACCGCCCGUCACACCAUGGGAGCCGGUAAUGCCCGAAGUCAGUAGCCUAACCGCGAAGGGGGGCGCUGCCGAAGGUAGGAUUGGCGACUGGGGUGAAGUCGUAACAAGGUAGC